UUUUUAUUUUGUUCGUCGUCUUCGUCAUCGCUCGAUCCCUCUGCUUCAUCGCUUGCCGGAGAUUUUCUGAUCGUCCUUCUGCUGCUCUAAAUGGCGAAAUAGUAAAUCGAGGAGCCAAACGCCUUCAUUAGAGGAAUUCGCGGCAAGUGUGACAGGAAAUCCCUUAGUCGUUUGGUUAAAUCCAUCCAAUAAACCGGUUUUUGUCUUCCUAUGGCCAGUGACAGUGUCCAUGACUAAGUCUGAGAGGAUUUACGGAGGUCAAUUCUUGCAACAAUAUAAUAUAAGAACCAAAUUCUUCAUAUGUACACUCUCUUUUGGUUGUCCUGAGACCUGAAAUUCUGUAUUGUGCCAAGAAAUUACAUGGAACAGGAAGAUCCAAAUCUUGGCUUUGGUCCCUUGGAUGUUGAGCCUUCAAGUGCUUCUGGCAAAAGCAUCUGGAAAAUCUGCAGGAACAUCUCCCAUUCAUCUGCACUCAUGUCUCCCAAAAAAACACCUUCUUUUUCAUCAUGAUUUACACAGAUAGGGUGGCUCUUGCUCCUCACAAUACUCCUAUCUUUCCAGUCUUCUUCUCUGUUAAUGUCGUUUACAUUUCUGGUCGGUUUAUCAUGAGUACCAAUCCAAGAACACAUCAUGAGAGCAGAUAGAUUCGCAGACAAGGAUAUAGCUGUUGGAAACAAAGGCGUUUUAGAGACCUGACUCAUCUCUGGAAGCUCUUUGCAUUCUAUAUCUUCAAAUUCAUCGUCAAAGUUAAAAAUACAACACUCCAGCUCUGCUUCUACUUCAUCCCAUUCACUUCUAUAACCAUCAUCGUCUUCUUCUUCUUCUUCUUCUUCAUGUCUCGAGUCAUCUUCUCACCAAUCUCUGCAAGACACAGCCCUGAAGCAGCUGCCUGUUUCAAGAAUAUAGUGCAGACGAUGAGGACUCGUAUGGAAGAUUCCUGUAUAGAGCAUAAUUCGGUUCUUAAAAUCUCUGCGUCUUUAAAAGGGUCAAGAUUCGAUAUAUACUCAAGCUCUGCCUCAGUGAAUGGAACCGAAGCUUGAGGCCAGUUAAGCCAUUCGAAAUAAGGAUCGUCGAAGCAUUCUGGUAGGCAAAGACCAUGAUCUAUAGGCACGAGCUCGGCUGCUCCAACUCCGUUAUAACAACUCUGGUCUUCUUGGUCAUGUAUCUUCUUCACUAACAUGUUUCCAGCAUGUCUAUCGAGGUUCAUGACUCUCACAUCAAGUAUCCCAAUCCUAUGGACCGAACCAACCGUGAAGCUUCCUGGUCCAAGCUCUCCUGCAUCAAAAUCA